rnacentral:rRNA from 1 species
UAACGCGUAGGCAACCUGCCCUUUGCACAGGGAUAGCCAUUGGAAACGAUGAUUAAAACCUGAUAACACCAUUUGGUUACAUGAGCAGAUGGUCAAAGAUUUAUCGGCAAAGGAUGGGCCUGCGUCUGAUUAGCUAGUUGGUAAGGUAACGGCUUACCAAGGCGACGAUCAGUAGCCGACCUGAGGGGGUGAACGGCCACAUUGGAACUGAGACACGGUCCAAACUCCUACGGGAGGCAGCAGUGGGGAAUAUUGCACAAUGGGCGAAAGCCUGAUGCAGCAACGCCGCGUGAAGGAAGAAGGCCUUCGGGUCGUAAACUUCUGUCCUUGGGGAAGAAGAACUGACGGUACCCAAGGAGGAAGCCCCGGCUAACUACGUGCCAGCAGCCGCGGUAAUACGUAGGGGGCAAGCGUUAUCCGGAAUUAUUGGGCGUAAAGAGUACGUAGGUGGCAACCUAAGCGCAGGGUUUAAGGCAAUGGCUCAACCAUUGUUCGCCCUGCGAACUGGGAUGCUUGAGUGCAGGAGAGGAAAGCGGAAUUCCUAGUGUAGCGGUGAAAUGCGUAGAUAUUAGGAGGAACACCAGUGGCGAAGGCGGCUUUCUGGACUGUAACUGACACUGAGGUACGAAAGCGUGGGGAGCAAACAGGAUUAGAUACCCUGGUAGU